rnacentral:rRNA from 1 species
GACGUAGGGCGCGAGCGUUGUCCGGAUUUAUUGGGCGUAAAGAGCUCGUAGGCGGCUUGUCGCGUCGACCGUGAAAACUCACAGCUCAACUGUGAGCUUGCGGUGGGUACGGGCAGACUAGAGUGAUGUAGGGGAGACUGGAAUUCCGCGUGUAGCAGUGAAAUGCGUAGAGAUGCGGAGGAACACCGAUGGCGAAGGCAGCCCCCUGGGCCAAUACUGACGCUCAGGCACGAAAGCGUGGGGAGCAAACAGG